GAUGAACGCUGGCGGCGUGCCUAAUACAUGCAAGUCGAGCGAACGGACGAGAAGCUUGCUUCUCUGAUGUUAGCGGCGGACGGGUGAGUAACACGUGGAUAACCUACCUAUAAGACUGGGAUAACUUCGGGAAACCGGAGCUAAUACCGGAUAAUAUUUUGAACCGCAUGGUUCAAAAGUGAAAGACGGUCUUGCUGUCACUUAUAGAUGGAUCCGCGCUGCAUUAGCUAGUUGGUAAGGUAACGGCUUACCAAGGCAACGAUGCAUAGCCGACCUGAGAGAGUGAUCGGCGACCUUAGAGCUGGACCGCGGUCCAGACUCCUACGAGAGGCAGCAGUAGGGUAUCUUCCGCAGUAGGCGAAAGCCUGACGGAGCGACGCGGCGUGAGUGAUGAAGGUCUUCGGAUCGUAAAACUCUGUUAUUAGGGGAAAACAUAUGUGUAAGUAACUGUGCACAUCGUGACGGUACCUAAUCAGAAAGCCCCGGCUAACUACGUG
rnacentral:rRNA from 1 species